GGGGGGGGGGGGGGGGGGGGGGGGGGGGGGGGGGGGGGGGGGGGGGGCGGGGGGUGGGGGGGGUGCUCGGGGGGCGGCCGGGGGGGUGGGCCGUGGGGGUCCGGCCCUUGGCUUUGGGGUGACUUCCGGGGACUGGGGCUACUACCGGCUCUGAGCGCCUGCUGCAUGGUGUGGCUUGUCAAAUUUCGGCUGAUGGGUAUGGACUCGCGGGUUAUCCUCUGGUUGUUGUGGUAGUGGCUUACCCAGGCUUUGACGGGUAGCCGGCCUGAGAGGGUGACCGGCCACAUUGGGACUGAGAUACGGCACAGACUCCUACGGGAGGCAGCAGUGGGGAAUAUUGCACAAUGGGCGGAAGCCUGAUGCAGCAACGCCGCGUGCGGGAUGACGGCCUUCGGGUUGUAAACCGCUUUCGCCGGUGACGAAGCGUGAGUGACGGUAAUGGGUAAAGAAGCACCGGCUAACUACGUG
rnacentral:rRNA from 1 species